rnacentral:rRNA from 1 species
CCUACGGGCGGCAGCAGUGGGGAAUAUUGCACAAUGGGGGAAACCCUGAUGCAGCGACGCCGCGUGAGUGAAGAAGUAUCUCGGUACGUAAAGCUUCAUUAGUAGGGAAGAAAAUGACGGUACCUGACUAAGAAGCCCCGGCUAACCACGUGCCAGCAGCCGCGGGAAUACGUAGGGGGCAAGCGUUAUCCGGAGUUACGGGGCUUUAUGGGUGCGCAGGCGGUUUGUUAAGUAAGCGGUCAAAGUCCGGGGCUCAACCCCGGCCCGCCGUUGAAACUGGCAGUAUCGAGUUGGAGAGAAGUAUGCGGAAUGCGCGGUGUAGCGGUGAAAUGCAUAGAUAUCGCGCAGAACUCAGAUUGCGAAGGCAGCAUGCCGGCUCCACACUGACGCUGAGGCACGAAAGCGUGGGUAUCGAACAGGAUUAGAUACCCCAGUAGUC